rnacentral:lncRNA from 13 species
ACUUUCUUUAUAAUACAUCAUGUUCAGUAGGGCCCAGAUUAUAUCAUGGAAAUAGCUCCUGUUAUGGGAGAAUAUCCUUUUUUGAGCAGACUCUUAAAACGACGCAAUGACCCAGUCAACCUUUUCUCUCUUUCCUCUCUCUUGCAUCCCCCUCUCUUCUCUCAUUCACUUUUGUACUUUUCCCUCCCGCACAUGUUUGUUUUACAGACCCGAGGGUUGCUAGGGCAACGGAAACCAAAUCGCAUUAUAUCUAUACAAUAUUAUGCUCUAUUUUAUUACUAUAUUUUGAAAUGAAUGAAAUGCUUAAAAUGUAUCAACAGGGCCUAACCAAUAUUUUUGUAUUGUACUCAAAACUGGCAAUAAAAUAUGCAGUGUGUAUAAUUGAUAUCUGAGUCUGUAUGGUGUUGCUCAUGGUUGAGCUACUGUUGUUGGGAAUUACUGGAUCAGCAUGAGUAAAAUGCCUGAGUUACCAGGCCUUCAUCUCAAAUGGCACUCGAUUCCAAACAUAUUGCACCAUUUUUGACCAGAGCAGGUCUCUGGUGAAACCAUGUGUAUGUGACAAAUACAUUUGAUUUGAUUUUUGAUUUUAUGUAGGGAAUUCGAUUUUAUUUUAUUUGGAUCUCUUUUAGUUCCCAUUUGGACUAAUCGUCCAAGAGUCCUUAAACAUUAAAAUAAAAUUUAUAAUACAAACACACGUUCACAUAUAACACACUAUUACAAACAUACAUAAUAUACUAACAUAAUGACCCAAUAAAUACACAAUCUAAAAACAUAUUGAUUCUUCAUCUACUAUAGUCCCACAACAUUUGUAUUAUUUGUAUGUAUUAUAUUUAAAUAGUUUUAAAAUAAUGUUUAAAUUUAUAUAUUGAAAGGUUUCUAGUUUGCUCAGUUAAUUUAUUCAAUUUCUUUAUUGCUCUAAAUCAAUGUUCUUUUGCCUAUUUCUCUUUUCUGUCUGGAUAACGCAUAGAUGGUGUACAAUCUAUUCCUAGUAUUUACGGAAUGUCUGUCUCUUACCAACUGAAUACCGUUGUGAAUAGAACUUGGCUGUUUUAUAUGGUGCCAUUUGGGAUGCACACAGGUUUAGAGUGUAGCAGGCUGUUUAGUUUAACAAGCCUCUGGUUAGUCAAUGAUUUGAAAGGCUAUGAGCAUGUCUUGGAGUAAGCACACAUUUCCUUAUCACAUAUCAGGAUGUUAGGUGAGGUUGUGAACUUGUUCCUACACAUGUCAAAAAUGCUUAAUGGCGGCCAGUAUGAUAUAGCAAAAAUUGUGAAUUAUUCACAAAAAUAUGAACACAAAUAAACAUAGAUCAGCAUAUUAUAUUACAACAGGUUGCAUACUAAUACACAUACUAGGUUGCACCUCUAAAGGUCAUUAUUUAAUUCCAAAAAAUAUCUUUCCUCCUUUCUGCCCUUUUUGGAUGUGAGAUGACUGAACAGCUGUACGCAUUCGCUUCUACACCUACUUUCCACCAUCUUGCUUUCACCUUUCCAG